CAGUAGCCGCGGGAAUACAGAGGGUGCGAGCGUUAAUCGGAUUUACUGGGCGUAAAGCGUGCGUAGGCGGUGAGUUAAGUCUGCUGUGAAAUCCCCGGGCUCAACCUGGGAAUGGCAGUGGAUACUGGCUCGCUAGAGUGUGUCAGAGGAUGGUGGAAUUCCCGGUGUAGCGGUGAAAUGCGUAGAGAUCGGGAGGAACAUCAGUGGCGAAGGCGGCCAUCUGGGACAACACUGACGCUGAGGCACGAAAGCGUGGGGAGCAAACAGGAUUAGAUACCCCCGUAGUCCCUGUCUCUUAUAC
rnacentral:rRNA from 1 species